rnacentral:rRNA from 1 species
AUUGAACGCUGGCGGCAUGCCUAACACAUGCAAGUCGAACGCGUCGCGGACGGGUGAGUCAUGUCUGGAAACCUGCCUGAUGGAGGGGGAUAACUACUGGAAACGGUAGCUAAUCCCGCAUACCAUCAGAUGUGCCCAGAUGGGAUUAGCGAGUUGGUGGGGUAACGGCUCACCAAGGCGACGAUCACUAGCUGGUCUGAGAGGGUGACCGGCCACACUGGAACUGAGACACGGUCCAGACUCCUACGGGAGGCAGCAGUGGGGAAUAUUGCGCAAUGGGCGAAAGCCUGACGCAGCCAUGCCGCGUGAAUGAAGAAGGCCUUCGGGUUGUAAAGUACUGUCAGCGGGGAGGCGUUACCUAAAGAAGAAGCACCGGCUAACUCCGUGCCAGCAGCCGCGGUAAUUC